CCCCUGUCAGGGUCACACCUGGAGAGUUUCUAGUACUCUACCAGGCUAGGCUAUGGGAGGGAGAGUCUAGCAGAGACCUACCCAUUCCAUUCCUAGCUUGGGCAGUGGCUAGUGUGUGGAAGACAAUCUGCAGCAAGU